GACCCACAACAGUCACGCUUCACUAAGACCAAGACUAUUCCAGUUAUGCCUGUCACUGUGGACUCAUCAAGACAGCUGAGGAGGCGAUUACCUGCACCACCAGUGAAAGAAGACAAAGAGGAAACCUAAAUCAUCGAUCCAGGACCUUUGCAGUACCUCCAACACAGCAGUGCCUUGACCCUCUCACUCUGCAGCCUACAGGCCGCUCUUAAGUUCCAUUGCCUUAAUUUCAUUUUUAGACUAAACAUG